rnacentral:rRNA from 1 species
AGGCCGAAAGGCGUAGUCGAUGGGAAACAGGUUAAUAUUCCUGUACUUGGUGUUACUGCGAAGGGGGGACGGAGAAGGCUAUGUUAGCCGGGCGACGGUUGUCCCGGUUUAAGCAUGUAGGCUGAUUGUCCAGGCAAAUCCGGAUAAUCAAGGCUGAGGUGUGAUGACGAGGCACUACGGUGCUGAAGUAACAAAUGCCCUGCUUCCAGGAAAAGCCUCUAAGCAUCAGGUAACAUUAAAUCGUACCCCAAA